AGGAGUGUAGCUCAAUUGGCAGAGCGUCGGUCUCCAAAACCGAAGGUUGUGGGUUCGAUUCCCUCCACUCCUGCCA
rnacentral:tRNA from 2 species